AGCAAAUAGAUACCCGGGUAGUCCACGCCGUAAACUAUGCAUACAAGCUGUAGUGGAAUUUUACUUCUGCUGUGGCGAAAGCUAACGCAAUUAGUAUGCCGCCUGGGGAGUACGGUCGCAAGACUAAAACUCAAAGGAAUUGACGGGGGCCCGGCACAAGCGGUGGAUUAUGUGGUUUAAUUUCGAAGCAACGCGCAGAACCUUACCUAGGCUUGACAUCCCACGACAUCCGUAGAAAUACGGCUUUGUAGCAAUACACGUGGAGACAGGUGCUGCAUGGCUGUCGUCAGCUCGUGUUGUGAAAUGUUGGGUU
rnacentral:rRNA from 1 species